rnacentral:tRNA from 7 species
UGGGCGAUUAGCUCAGUUGGUAGAGCAUCUCCUUUACACGGAGGGGGUCAUCAGUUCGAAUCUGGUAUCGCCCACCAC